UACGUAGGUCGCAAGCGUUGUCCGGAUUUACUGGGCGUAAAGAGCGCGCAGGCGGCUGGUCAAGUCCGAUGUGAAGUCUCCCGGCUCAACUGGGAAACUGCAUCGGAAACUGAUCGGCCUGAAGGUGGGAGAGGGUAGUGGAAUUCCCGGUGUAGUGGUGAAAUGCGUAGAUAUCGGGAGGAACACCAGUGGCGAAGGCGACUACCUGGCCCAUUCUUGACGCUGAGGCGCGAAAGCUAGGGGAGCGAACGGG
rnacentral:rRNA from 1 species